GAACCGUCCAAACGUUAUUCGGAUUUAUUGGGCUUAAAGGGUAUGUAGGCGGCCCUUCAAGUCGGGUGUGAAAGCCCUCGGCUCAACCGAGGAACUGCGCCCGAUACUGUGGGGCUCGAGGGAGACAGAGGUAAGCGGAACUGAUGGUGGAGCGGUGAAAUGCGUUGAUAUCAUCAGGAACACCAGUGGCGAAAGCGGCUUACUGGGUCUCUUCUGACGCUGAGAUACGAAAGCUAGGGGAGCGAACGGGAUUAGAUACCCCGGUAGUCCUAGCUGUAAACGAUGAGCACUUGAUCGAGGGGCCCCCCAUAGCCUCUCGGUCGUAGCGAAAGUGAUAAGUGCUCCGCCUGGGGAGUAUGGUCGCAAGGCUGAA
rnacentral:rRNA from 1 species